CCGGGAGGCGCACUCCUGAGGGAGAAGGGGCAGAAACAGGAAAUUCCCUCUCGGGGCAAUGUCCAAGGCUGCUUAUCGGGCCAGGACGGACUUCAGCCUCCCAGCCCUCCUCCUCUUCCUCCAGCCCGAUUCUCCCUCGGCCCCUCCCGGCGGCAGGCAGGAAGCAGCUUAGCUGAAUGUUCUGCAGAGGCCUGUGCUGUGCUGACCUGGCCAGAACAAGCCAGCAGCAGCUCGGGAAGAAAAGCAGUGGCUGGAACGUGCUGGAAAGAAUGUUCAUCUGGGGUCAACACGGGGGGGAAAGAGCUGGAGCCCACAGCCAGAGGCCCACUCGCCUGGGAAGGGCCCUUAUCUCCCCUGAGGUGCUGGGCUCUCGCCUGUGUGUGGUGACCAGAGGCCUGCAGUGCUUGGGGGUGUGGGGGAGGAGCAUGGCGGGCCCUGCGGUCCGUCCUGGGGCCCUGCUGAUUCAGGUCACGGGGGUAUGUUUAUCAGGGCAGGGAGGGCCCCCAGAGACAGCCAGUCCCGGGGUCCCAAAUAAGUGGUGGGUCUACGACCAGACUCCCUCCCUCUGAAUCCUCCUUAACACAGCACCCCACACAGGUGCACAUCAGCCGGAGCUGGCCCAAGAGUUAACAACUGCCCUGUGCUUCUAGCUUCUAGCACCAGGACUCUGUGCCUGGAUGAUAUCUCCCCGAGGGGUGGAAGGGCUCCCUCCAGGUCCCACGGCCUGGAGAGAGGCAGGUCAGGACCAGCUCUCCCGGUCCAGAUGCUAGGCACUUUUCAUGACACACAGACUUUUUGCACAGGGGGUGACACCCACGCCGUCCUGCCUGCUGCCGAGAGCUAAGUUACGCAGCUGCUGUGAUUGUAGGAGGGGCUGGCACUGGCCUCCCGGGACAGCUGACGCUGCAGCUGCCGCUGGGGUGGUGGCGGGACCCACCCUCCCCCCCCCCAGGCUGUCUGGUCUGUUCGGUGGCAAAGCUCAGAAUGGUUUUGAAGUACAGAAUGAGUUUACUUGCGAAUGAGGGAAUGAGGCCAACACAGAGGACGGCGGAGCCGGAAUGGAAAGUGUGAUACAUUUCUGAUGACAUUAUCUGAGCCUCUGGAUCCCGCCCUCUGCAGCCCUGAAUUUCCCAGCAUGUUCUGAGCCGCUGUGUAAAGAAGUCUGGCUACCCUGCUGGAGAGACCAUAUGAAACGGGAGGCCUGGGCAGCCUCUAGAUAUUGCAGUCACCACACUGAAAGCACGGAACGUGUGAGGGAAGCCCUCUUGGACGUUCUGGUUCUGGCUAAGCAGAGCACGGACUGGAAAGUGGGGCACAUUUCCUGAUGAUACCACUCGGACGGCCGGAUCCAGCCAUGCCUGAAGCCAGUCCAGCCGGGUGCAGCUGAGUGCAGCUGCCUGAGUGGUCUCGGGCAACACCAUGUGGAGCACAACCACCAGGUGAGCCCAGCCAACCCACAGAAUCACGAGCGAGACUAAAUUGCUGUUUUAAGCCA